rnacentral:rRNA from 1 species
UACGUAGGGGGCAAGCGUUGUCCGGAAUUAUUGGGCGUAAAGAGCUCGUAGGCGGCUUGUCGCGUCGGAUGUGAAAGCCCGGGGCUUAACUCCGGGUCUGCAUUCGAUACGGGCAGGCUAGAGUUCGGUAGGGGAGAUCGGAAUUCCUGGUGUAGCGGUGAAAUGCGCAGAUAUCAGGAGGAACACCGGUGGCGAAGGCGGUGUCCUGGGCCGAUCCUGACGCUGAGGAGCGAAAGCUGGGGGAGCAAACAGG